rnacentral:tRNA from 1 species
GGGCUGGGGCUCAGUGGUAAGUGCGCUUGCCUAGCAUGUAGGAGGCACUGGGUUCGAUUCUCAGCACCACA